rnacentral:rRNA from 1 species
GGCGGACGGGUGAGUAAUGUAUAGUUAAUCUGCCCUUUAGAGGGGGAUAACAGUUGGAAACGACUGCUAAUACCCCAUACUCCUUUUAUCUUAAUGGUAAUUGGGAAACGUUUUUUCGCUAAAGGAUGAGACUAUAUGGUAUCAGGUAGUUGAUGGGGUAAGAGCCUACCAAGCCAAUGACGCCUAGCUGGUCUGAGAGGAUGAUCAGCCACACUGGAACUGAGACACGGUCCAG